GUCAGCUGCCUCUGACCUAGAAUUAAUGUUUUAAAGAGGUUAGAACUUGUAAAAGUUCAAGUUGACUAGCCUAAGUGUCUUGAACACUACGUUAUUUCUGUUAUCACACCUGCAAAUGAUACCCUAGUUUGCAGCUCUGUGCAGGCUCUGUAAACAACUCUGUGAGGUAGGAGUAGUCAACCUGAAGUCUCCGAUUACGGGAAGCAGUUCUAACAUUGGCGAAGGGUAACAAAC
rfam:Firmicutes bacterium CAG:227 genomic scaffold, scf308